rnacentral:rRNA from 1 species
CACGUAGGGGGCAAGCGUUGUCCGGAUUUAUUGGGCGUAAAGAGCUCGUAGGUGGCUUAGUAAGUCGGGUGUGAAACCUCCAGGCUCAACCUAGAGACGCCACCCGAUACUGCUAUAGCUUGAGUCCGGUAGGGGAGCGUGGAAUUCCUGGUGUAGCGGUGAAAUGCGCAGAUAUCAGGAGGAACACCAGCGGCGAAGGCGGCGCUCUGGGCCGGUACUGACACUGAGGAGCGAAAGCGUGGGGAGCAAACAGG